rnacentral:piRNA from 1 species
UAAUUCCUCCUGAACUAGCAGACUCCUAGU